GACGAACGCUGGCGGCGUGCUUAACACAUGCAAGUCGAACGGAAAGGCCCUGCUUGCAGGGUACUCGAGUGGCGAACGGGUGAGUAACACGUGGGUGAUCUGCCCUGCACUUCGGGAUAAGCCUGGGAAACUGGGUCUAAUACCGGAUAGGAGCCAUUUUUAGUGUGAUGGUUGGAAAGUUUUUUCGGUGUAGGAUGAGCUCGCGGCCUAUCAGCUUGUUGGUGGGGUAAUGGCCUACCAAGGCGGCGACGGGUGGCCGGCCUGAGAGGGUGGACGGCCACAUUGGGACUGAGAGACGGCCCAGACUCCUACGGGAGGCAGCAGUGGGGAAUAUUGCACAAUGGGCGCAAGCCUGAUGCAGCGACGCCGCGUGGGGGAUGACGGCCUUCGGGUUGUAAACUCCUUUCGCUAGGGACGAAGCUUUUUGUGACGGUACCUAGAUAAGAAGCACCGGCUAACUACGUG
rnacentral:rRNA from 1 species